GACGAACGCUGGCGGCGUGCCUAAUACAUGCAAGUAGAACGCUGAAGGAGGAGCUUGCUCUUCUGGAUGAGUUGCGAACGGGUGAGUAACGCGUAGGUAACCUGCCUGGUAGCGGGGGAUAACUAUUGGAAACGAUAGCUAAUACCGCAUAACAGUAGAUGUUGCACGACAUUUACUUAAAAGGUGCAAUUGCAUCACUACCAGAUGGACCUGCGUUGUAUUAGCUAGUUGGUGGGGUAACGGCUCACCAAGGCGACGAUACAUAGCCGACCUGAGAGGGUGAUCGGCCACACUGGGACUGAGACACGGCCCAGACUCCUACGGGAGGCAGCAGUAGGGAAUCUUCGGCAAUGGACGGAAGUCUGACCGAGCAACGCCGCGUGAGUGAAGAAGGUUUUCGGAUCGUAAAGCUCUGUUGUAAGAGAAGAACGAGUGUGAGAGUGGAAAGUUCACACUGUGACGGUAUCUUACCAGAAAGGGACGGCUAACUACGUG
rnacentral:rRNA from 1 species